CGCGUGGGAACAUGCCCAUCAGUACGGAAUAGCUCCGGGAAACUGGAAUUAAUACCGUAUACGUCCUUCGGGAGAAAGAUUUAUCGCUGAUGGAUUGGCCCGCGUUAGAUUAGCUAGUUGGUAGGGUAAAAGCCUACCAAGGCUACGAUCUAUAGCUGGUCUGAGAGGAUGAUCAGCCACACUGGGACUGAGACACGGCCCAGACUCCUACGGGAGGCAGCAGUGGGGAAUCUUGGACAAUGGGGGAAACCCUGAUCCAGCCAUGCCGCGUGAAUGAUGAAGGCCUUAGGGUUGUAAAAUUCUUUCAGCGGGGAAGAUAAUGACGGUACCCGCAGAAGAAGCCCCGGCUAACUCCGUG
rnacentral:rRNA from 1 species